AGACGUCUACAUUAGAUACCCGCGUAGUCCUAGCCGUAAACGACACUCGCUAGGUGUCGGCCACGGUGCGACCGUUGUCGGUGCCGUAGGGAAGCCGUGAAGCGAGCCACCUGGGAAGUACGGCCGCAAGGCUGAAACUUAAAGGAAUUGGCGGGGGAGCACCACAACGGGUGGAGCUUGCGGUUUAAUUGGAUUCAACGCCGGAAAUCUUACCGGGACCGACAGCAACAUGAAGGCCAGGCUGAAGACUUUGCCGGAUUAGCUG
rnacentral:rRNA from 1 species